GGAGGGAGGGAGGGAGGGAGGGAAGGAGGUUGAUAGACAGGUGGAGGGAGGGAAGGAGGUUGAUGGACAGGUGGAGGGAGGGAGGGAGAAAGGUUGAUGGACAGGUGGAGGGAGGGAGGGAGGUUGAUGGGCAGGUGGAGGGAGGGAGGGAGAAAGGUUGAUGGGCAGGUGGAGGGAGGGAGGGAGGUUGAUGGGCAGGUGGAGGGAGGGAGGGAGGUUGAUGGGCAGGUGGAGGGAGGGAGGGAGGUUGAUGGGCAGGUGGAGGGAGGGAGGUUGAUGGGCAGGUGGAGGGAGGGAGGGUGGCUGAUGGACACGUGGAGACAAAAUGG